AGGCAGCAGUGGGGAAUAUUGCGCAAUGGGCGGAAGCCUGACGCAGCGACGCCGCGUGAGGGAUGACGGCCUUCGGGUUGUAAACCUCUUUCAGCUCUGACGAAGCGAGAGUGACGGUAGGAGCAGAAGAAGCACCGGCCAACUACGUGCCAGCAGCCACGGUAAUACGUAGGGUGCAAGCGUUGUCCGGAAUUAUUGGGCGUAAAGAGCUCGUAGGCGGUCUGUCGCGUCGAAUGUGAAAACCCGGGGCUCAACCCCGGGCCUGCAUUCGAUACGGGCAGACUAGAGUUCGGUAGGGGAGUCUGGAAUUCCUGGUGUAGCGGUGAAAUGCGCAGAUAUCAGGAGGAACACCGGUGGCGAAGGCGGGACUCUGGGCCGAUACUGACGCUGAGGAGCGAAAGCGUGGGGAGCAAACAGGAUUAGAUACCCUGGUAG
rnacentral:rRNA from 1 species